rnacentral:rRNA from 1 species
GUGCCAGCACCGCGGUAAUACGGAGGGUGCAAGCGUUAAUCGGAAUUACUGGGCGUAAAGCGCACGCAGGCGGUUUGUUAAGUCAGAUGUGAAAUCCCCGGGCUCAACCUGGGAACUGCAUCUGAUACUGGCAAGCUUGAGUCUCGUAGAGGGGGGUAGAAUUCCAGGUGUAGCGGUGAAAUGCGUAGAGAUCUGGAGGAAUACCGGUGGCGAAGGCGGCCCCCUGGACGAAGACUGACGCUCAGGUGCGAAAGCGUGGGGAGCAAACAGGAUUAGAUACCCUGGUAGUCCACGCCGUAAACGAUGUCGACUUGGAGGUUGUGCCCUUGAGGCGUGGCUUCCGGAGCUAACGCGUUAAGUCGACCGCCUGGGGAGUACGGCCGCAAGGUUAAAACUCAAAUGAAUUGACGGGGGCCCGCACAAGCGGUGGAGCAUGUGGUUUAAUUCGAUGCAACGCGAAGAACUUACCUGGUCUUGACAUCCACGGAAGUUUUCAGAGAUGAGAAUGUGCCUUCGGGAACCGUGAGACAGGUGCUGCAUGGCUGUCGUCAGCUCGUG